CAGUAUGCAAACCCUGGGUGUCGAGUCGUAAGACCUGAUGCCCUCCCUAUACGAAACAGAUUGUAAUUAACGUGAAUUAAAGAGAGACGCGGCCCCAGCAUACAUUGUCAUAUUGUCAUUGUCAUGUUGAGCGGCCGGUCUUUUACUAAAAGUAAUGUAACUUACAACUUUCAGCAACGGAUGUCUAGGUUCCCACAACGAUGAAGAACGCAGCGAAAUGCGAUACGUAAUGCGAAUUGCAAUUUCUCGUGAAUCAUCAAAAUUUUGAACGCACAUUGCGCUUCCGGGAUAUGCCCGGUAGCAUGCUUAUCUGAGUGUCCGCGAACCCCACUCAGCCUUGUUACUGUACUCGUAUUGUAAUGAGCGCUGGACUGUGGCACUGCACCGAUUUGAGUAUUGGUGCUGUGUUGGAAUGCGUGACGUUUUUCUGCGUGGCGAGGCCUUUGGUUGUGUCUCGUGCGGUACUAUGCAGUCGUCUCUGGUAGAGGCACUUUACGUGCAUUCGAAAGGAGAGUUGGUUGUAUAUGUGCGUGCACUUUGAGGCAGUGUGCCAUGGGCGCACGAAUCUGACGUAACAUAGUUGGUCGGUUCUGUGUGUGUUUUCGUUUCGGAUCUCAGAUUAAGUAAGGAUACCCGCUGAUU
rnacentral:rRNA from 1 species